GGACUACCGGGGUAUCUAAUCCUGUUCGCUCCCCACGCUUUCGCUCCUCAGCGUCAGGAAAGGCCCAGAGAACCGCCUUCGCCACUGGUGUUCCUCCUGAUAUCUGCGCAUUCCACCGCUCCACCAGGAAUUCCAUUCUCCCCUACCUUCCUCAAGUCAACCCGUAUCGAAAGCACGCUCAGGGUUAAGCCCCAAGAUUACACUUCCGACGCGAUCAACCACCUACGAGCCCUUUACGCCCAAUAAAUCCGGACAACGCUCGCACCCUACGUAUUACCGCGGCUGCUGGCAC
rnacentral:rRNA from 1 species